AUGAACGCUAGCGACAGGCUUAACACAUGCAAGUCGAGGGGCAGCACAGGUAGCAAUACCGGGUGGCGACCGGCGCACGGGUGAGUAACGCGUAUGCAACUUGCCUAUCAGAGGGGGAUAACCCGGCGAAAGUCGGACUAAUACCGCAUGAAGCAGGGGUCCCGCAUGGGGAUAUUUGCUAAAGAUUCAUCGCUGAUAGAUAGGCAUGCGUUCCAUUAGGCAGUUGGCGGGGUAACGGCCCACCAAACCGACGAUGGAUAGGGGUUCUGAGAGGAAGGUCCCCCACAUUGGUACUGAGACACGGACCAAACUCCUACGGGAGGCAGCAGUGAGGAAUAUUGGUCAAUGGGCGUAAGCCUGAACCAGCCAAGUCGCGUGAGGGAUGAAGGUUCUAUGGAUCGUAAACCUCUUUUAUAAGGGAAUAAAGUGCGGGACGUGUCCCGUUUUGUAUGUACCUUAUGAAUAAGGAUCGGCUAACUCCGUGCCAGCAGCCGCGGUAAUACGGAGGAUCCGAGCGUUAUCCGGAUUUAUUGGGUUUAAAGGGUGCGUAGGCGGCCUUUUAAGUCAGCGGUGAAAGUCUGUGGCUCAACCAUAGAAUUGCCGUUGAAACUGGGGGGCUUGAGUAUGUUUGAGGCAGGCGGAAUGCGUGGUGUAGCGGUGAAAUGCUUAGAUAUCACGCAGAACCCCGAUUGCGAAGGCAGCCUGCCAAGCCAUGACUGACGCUGAUGCACGAAAGCGUGGGGAUCAAACAGGAUUAGAUACCCUGGUAGUCCACGCAGUAAACGAUGAUCACUAGCUGUUUGCGAUACACUGUAAGCGGCACAGCGAAAGCGUUAAGUGAUCCACCUGGGGAGUACGCCGGCAACGGUGAAACUCAAAGGAAUUGACGGGGGCCCGCACAAGCGGAGGAACAUGUGGUUUAAUUCGAUGAUACGCGAGGAACCUUACCCGGGUUUGAACGCAUUCGGACCGAGGUGGAAACACCUUUUCUAGCAAUAGCCGUUUGCGAGGUGCUGCAUGGUUGUCGUCAGCUCGUGCCGUGAGGUGUCGGCUUAAGUGCCAUAACGAGCGCAAACCUUGCCACUAGUUACUAACAGGUAAAGCUGAGGACUCUGGUGGGACUGCCAGCGUAAGCUGCGAGGAAGGCGGGGAUGACGUCAAAUCAGCACGGCCCUUACAUCCGGGGCGACACACGUGUUACAAUGGCGUGGACAAAGGGAAGCCACCUGGCGACAGGGAGCGAAUCCCCAAACCACGUCUCAGUUCGGAUCGGAGUCUGCAACCCGACUCCGUGAAGCUGGAUUCGCUAGUAAUCGCGCAUCAGCCAUGGCGCGGUGAAUACGUUCCCGGGCCUUGUACACACCGCCCGUCAAGCCAUGGGAGCCGGGGGUACCUGAAGUCCGUAACCGCGAGGAUCGGCCUAGGGUAAAACUGGUGACUGGGGCU
rnacentral:rRNA from 1 species